GUCUAAGCCCUAGACUUCUCUCUCUGCUCUCUCUCUCUCGCGUCGAAGCCCGCCUUCUCUGUCUGCUCUCUCUCUCGUCUAAGCCCUAGCUUUCUCUCUCUGCUCUCUCUCUAUCACGUCGAAGCCCUAGCUUUCUCUCUGUGCUCUCUCUCUUUAGAUGAAAAAGAUGCGGACAAGAUGAUGUUAUAGAUUCGAUAUAGUCUCCCUAUUCGAGUUAUCUCUCUGGUUCGCCUCUUUGUUCGAGUUAUCUCUCUGGCUCGCCUCUUUGUUCGAGUUUUCUCUCUGGUUUGGACACGAGAAACAACCAUUUGGAGCCAUAGUUUCUUCGAAUUUUAGACGGCUAUACACAUCAAUUUGGAGCAAAAAAUUAAGGGUUUCAAAAUUGCAAGGGAAAUUGCAGAUUUAGAAGAACUUAGGAACGUAUCUUUGUUGUCUGAUAAUUAUUAUCAGCAAGACCUUUCAAACUAUUCUUCAAAUGUCACGCAACGUUGGGACAUUGGUACUGCUAUUGCACGCUCUAGCUUUCGUGUUAUGGCCAGCAUGAAUCUAUCCACAGAAUUUCAAAUCUAUGGCAAACCCUGGGAGGUCUACAACAACCAUAGUCAGCUCUAAUAUGAUCACCAUCAACUGCUGAGCAGUUGAAAUGAUCAUGGGGAAGAUAUAUAGUUGUACAGCAGCUAGCUAGCUAACUUCAAAUCCGGAUGUGAAAGAUAUUGGGUACAUAUAGCGGAUAUGCAACACUACCCAACAACUUAGGCUUUUGAUUCAGAAUUUGGACAUCGAAGAAAACCCUAACCCCUAAUGGUAACAUGGCUCAAAGAAGAAACCCUAGGUCUAGAAUCCUCCUUUGGAGAUGCGAAGGUGUGCUAGGUGAUUUGCGGAUGGCUGUUGCUGCUAGGGUUGAGAGGAAUAGAGCUUUCUCCCUCCAAAAAAACUCGAAGAUAACAGCACUAGUAACACUUGUUUGGGAGAGAGAUGGAAUUUGCCUGACAACAUUUUCAGAUAAUUGUAGUGGUUACUAGACAAAAUAAUUAAGCAAAUGGUGAUGGAUAAAGAAUGGAUGCACAUGACUUACAGAGUUAAUCCAAAGUAUUUAGAAGGAGUACGGAGGUUUGCUGAUCAGGCGCAAGCGAAUGCGGGCCAUCCAGAAAAGAUUUUAUGCCCUUGCAAUUGUUGUCUAAAUGCAAAGCACCAAUACUUCGACAUGGUGUUUAGGCAUUUAUUGGAAAAUGGAAUGGAUCAAUCAUACACUAUCUGGUACUUUCACGGGGAAAAUUUGAGUGAAUCUCUCCAACAUGGAAGUGAUGUAAAUGACAUUGAAAUGCCAGAGACGUAUCAGAAUUUCUAUGAUUCCAAUCUACAACAAAGCUAUUUUUUUGGAUUUUAUACCGUGGAUUUUGCAGCUACUUCCUUGGAUUUUGUACAGUGAGGUGGUUUUCUGACAAGUGCAGACUGAAACUCAAGUGCUAGAAGGUUUAUCAAUUUUUCAACAGAAGUGUUAAGAAAUUGAUGAUUUUCUUGACAAAUGGAUUUACUUCCUGUUUUGGAACAUUGAUAAAUGUUGAAUUGUUUUGGUACAUUAAUAAAUGAUGAAUUGUAAAAAUAUUUUAACUCUUUUGAUAUAUUUAGUGGGAUAUGUUUUUUGAAUUGAAUUAUAGCUGAAAGUGAUGUCAAUUACAGGUGCUGGAUGAUUAAAUGGCAUUAAUUAAGACUGUUUUAUUUAUAAAAAUAUAUAUAUAUAUAUAUUUUACAGGGAGCUUAAAAUCCCGUAAAUAAGUGAAAAUCCUCCUAAGUACCUUUUCUACGGCAUACAUGGCAAGUCGUGAGAAUGAUUUAUAUUAUUUAUGGGUACCUAAAACUCACCGCAGAAGACAUUUUUACGGCACGCUUGAAUGACUCGUGAUAUUAUUUACGGGUAGUUAAAAUUUGCCUUAGAAAACUUUUUCAACAGAAUUGUUAAGAAAUUGAUGAUUUUCUUGACAAAUGGAUUUACUUCCUGUUUUGGAACAUUGAUAAAUGUUGAAUUGUUUUGGUACAUUAAUAAAUGAUGAAUUGUAAAAAUGUUUUAACUCUUUUGAUAUAUUUAGUGGGAUAUGUUUUUUGAAUUGAAUUAUAGCUGAAAGUGAUGUCAAUUACAGGUGCUUCCUUGGAUUUUGUACAGUGAGGUGGUUUUCUGACAAGUGCAGACUGAAACUCAAGUGCUAGAAGGUUUAUCAAUUUUUCAACAGAAGUGUUAAGAAAUUGAUGAUUUUCUUGACAAAUGGAUUUACUUCCUGUUUUGGAACAUUGAUAAAUGUUGAAUUGUUUUGGUACAUUAAUAAAUGAUGAAUUGUAAAAAUAUUUUAACUCUUUUGAUAUAUUUAGUGGGAUAUGUUUUUUGAAUUGAAUUAUAGCUGAAAGUGAUGUCAAUUACAGGUGCUGGAUGAUUAAAUGGCAUUAAUUAAGACUGUUUUAUUUAUAAAAAUAUAUAUAUAUAUAUAUUUUACAGGGAGCUUAAAAUCCCGUAAAUAAGUGAAAAUCCUCCUAAGUACCUUUUCUACGGCAUACAUGGCAAGUCGUGAGAAUGAUUUAUAUUAUUUAUGGGUACCUAAAAUUCACCGCAGAAGACAUUUUUACGGCACGCUUGAAUGACUCGUGAUAUUAUUUACGGGUAGUUAAAAUUUGCCUUAGAAAACUUUUUCAACAGAAUUGUUAAGAAAUUGAUGAUUUUCUUGACAAAUGGAUUUACUUCCUGUUUUGGAACAUUGAUAAAUGUUGAAUUGUUUUGGUACAUUAAUAAAUGAUGAAUUGUAAAAAUGUUUUAACUCUUUUGAUAUAUUUAGUGGGAUAUGUUUUUUGAAUUGAAUUAUAGCUGAAAGUGAUGUCAAUUACAGGUGCUUCCUUGGAUUUUGUACAGUGAGGUGGUUUUCUGACAAGUGCAGACUGAAACUCAAGUGCUAGAAGGUUUAUCAAUUUUUCAACAGAAGUGUUAAGAAAUUGAUGAUUUUCUUGACAAAUGGAUUUACUUCCUGUUUUGGAACAUUGAUAAAUGUUGAAUUGU